rnacentral:rRNA from 1 species
AUUGAACGCUGGCGGCAUGCUUUACACAUGCAAGUCGAACGGUAACAGGCCGCAAGGUGCUGACGAGUGGCGAACGGGUGAGUAAUGCAUCGGAACGUGCCCAGUCGUGGGGGAUAACGCAGCGAAAGCUGCGCUAAUACCGCAUACGAUCUAUGGAUGAAAGCGGGGGACCGUAAGGCCUCGCGCGAUCGGAGCGGCCGAUGUCAGAUUAGGUAGUUGGUGGGGUAAAGGCUCACCAAGCCAACGAUCUGUAGCUGGUCUGAGAGGACGACCAGCCACACUGGGACUGAGACACGGCCCAGACUCCUACGGGAGGCAGCAGUGGGGAAUUUUGGACAAUGGGCGCAAGCCUGAUCCAGCAAUGCCGCGUGCAGGAAGAAGGCCUUCGGGUUGUAAACUGCUUUUGUACGGAACGAAACGGUCCUGGUUAAUACCUGGGGCUAAUGACGGUGCCGUAAGAAUAAGCACCGGCUAACUACGUGCCAGCAGCCGCGGUAACAC